rnacentral:rRNA from 1 species
UUCGGGGGGGCAAGCGUUGUUCGGAAUUACUGGGCGUAAAGGGCUCGUAGGCGGCCAACUAAGUCAUACGUGAAAUCCCUCGGCUUAACCGGGGAACUGCGUCUGAUACUGGAUGGCUUGAGUUCGGGAGAGGGAUGCGGAAUUCCAGGUGUAGCGGUGAAAUGCGUAGAUAUCUGGAGGAACACCGGUGGCGAAGGCGGCAUCCUGGACCGAUACUGACGCUGAGGAGCGAAAGCGUGGGGAGCGAACAGG